UCCGGGGAAGUUUUAGAGAUGAGUAAGGUGCCUUCGGGAACCGUGAGACAGGUGCUGCAUGGCUGUCGUCAGCUCGUGUUGUGAAAUGUUGGGUUAAGUCCCGCAACGAGCGCAACCCUUAUCCUUUGUUGCCAGCGGUCCGGCCGGGAACUCAAAGGAGACUGCCAGUGAUAAACUGGAGGAAGGGGGGGAUGACGUCAAGUCAUCAUGGCCCUUACGACCAGGGCUACACACGUGCUACAAUGGCGCAUACAAAGAGAAGCGACCUCGCGAGAGCAAGCGGACCUCAUAAAGUGCGUCGUAAUCCGGAUUGGAGUCUGCAACUCGACUCCAUGAAGUCGGAAUCGCUAGUAAUCGUGGAUCAGAAUGCCACGGUGAAUACGUUCCCGGGUCUUGUACACACCGA
rnacentral:rRNA from 1 species